rnacentral:rRNA from 1 species
CCAGUAGUCAUAUGCUUGUAUCAAAGAUUAAGCCAUGCAUGUCUCAGUACAAGCCAAAUUAAGGUGAAACCGCGAAAGGCUCAUUAAAUCAGUUAUGGUUCCUUAGAUCGUACCCACAUUUACUUGGAUAACUGUGGUAAUUCUAGAGCUAAUACAUGCAAACAGAGUCCCGACCGGAGACGGAAGGGAUGCUUUUAUUAGAUCAAAACCAAUCGGCGGCGGGUCUCGGCCCGUUCGCCGCUCAACCUGGUGAAUCUGAAUAACUUUCGGCUGAUCGCACGGUCCAGCACCGGCGACGCAUCUUUCAAAUGUCUGCCUUAUCAACUGUCGAUGGUAGGUUCUGCGCCUACCAUGGUCGUAACGGGUAACGGGGAAUCAGGGUUCGAUUCCGGAGAGGGAGCCUGAGAAACGGCUACCACAUCCAAGGAAGGCAGCAGGCGCGCAAAUUACCCUCUCCCGGCACGGGGAGGUAGUGACGAAAAAUAA